rnacentral:lncRNA from 1 species
UCUGUUAUUACACAAGAACUCCGCGUCUAUAUUUUACCAGAAAACAUUUACGAGCAAAAAAUGCACGAUGGUAGCAGUCAUUUCUGUCACGUUAUAAAGAUCGUUUGCAUAGUUGAUUACAAAAUUUUAUACAUAGAUAUAGAAACUGCAUUAUAAAUGACUUUUUAUUUCUCAAUCUUUACAACUACGUUAAUUAUCUUCUUGGUAUUGAUUACCUGCAUUUUUUCAACUUCCGUUUGAUCCUAAAAAAAAAAAUAUAAAUAUAACCUUCAAUUUUUCAAAACGUUCAUUAAUAAUUGCAAAUAAAUUUCUGUUGAAUAAUUAUUAGGAUAAUAAUACAGAAAAUGGCAAAGGACUUACAAACGGCAAUCACUGAAAGAUAAAAUAAAAUACCUGGAAUGGUUGAUGUCUCUUAUCAGAAGCAGAAGAAUGGAUUGAUGAAUAACAAUAAUGAUAAUUCUCUGAAAAUCCAUCACUCAUUUUCCACAUAUUUAAAUAAACAUUCGCGAAGCAGUAAGACAAAUGAUGACUGCAAAAGGACAUUUUUACUCUUCAUAGUUCAUAUAUCAAAUGCUUAGAAAAGGCGACGACACAUAAAUACUGGUGUGCGGUGUACAAAAGUGGUUGUGGAAGACGCAAAUAUUCCAAGAGUCAGUGGAUAAAAUAUAUUGAAGCCAUCUCGUGUUCGCGUAGGCUUCACGAUUUUUCGGGGACACUGUCUCCCACCAUUCUUAUCCCUUAAUACACGUAAAAAAUUGUAUCUUCUAUACUUUUAAAAAUGAACUUAACCUUUUUUUUGAUUAUUUUUCAAGGUCCAAGAAUGACUUAUGUCGCCGGUAAUCUUUUACUCUUUCUCUAUAUGCUAUACUACUCUCUUGUAGUCUACUACCAGUGAUGUUUAUUUUUUCUCACUCACAUCUUCUCUUUUUACAACCGUUUAUUUUCUGUGGCACCCACAGGAGUCUCCCGCGACUAAUGCCCACCCUCGUGAUUUCGCCAACGUAUGAUAAAACAAAUUAAAAGACAUCCAGUUUAUAAGUACAAGUCUUGAAAUUUACUGAGAAAUAUCAAUGAUCGAUUUACUCAAGCAUUUUAAUUGGAACACCAAGUGGAUCCAUUUUUAUUGAGGAUCAUUUGCAGCAUUUGUAUAAGAAUAACAUUCGAGCAAGUAAUGAGAACUGUCAGACUGACGAUCUAACUAGGAGUAAAGGGACAGGGUUCAGGAUUAUUGAAUUACUUUGGAAACAGCCAAAUGUCAAAGACUAACCAAGAGCCAAACUAACUUGAGUGUAUGUAUGAGAGCUGAAUCGUUUGGUGUUGGUGAAUUUAUGCGCUGCAUAGGAUAUAAAGUGUACGGGUAAAUGGGAUUUAUAUUCUCUUAGAUGUGUAUAAUCAGGAGCUAAGAGAGAAAUGGACAUAAGAUAUGCCCAAAUCUGAAAUGAUCCUGGAAAAAGUGAUAAUUUAAUGAGAAAAAAAUCUCUCACUGCACCUCUAAAAGUCAGUCAUUACUUUAAAUACAGAUGAAAUGUUUGAUGCGCAUUAAACUCUUGUGUAAGAUAAAUCCUAAGGAGUCAUCCAUCUGUAAACGUGAGAAAAUGCAUUAAACAUUCUAAAAAAUAAACAAUCCAGCGCAUAUUCAACUACUUCUACAUUUUGUUUUUUACUUGAUAAAAUAUGCAUACGUACAAAUGUAACAAAAUAGCAAGUAAUUGAGUUUAAUUCACCAAUAAGCACACGACUAAAUUUUAUUAACAGUUAGAUUGACAAGUGAUAAAGGAAAAAAUAUGAUUGAUAAAACACGUGUAAUAUUAUACUAAUAGUAGUGUGAGACAUUUGGGUAAGGAAAGUCAAAGUUCAAUGACGAAACACGUGUCAGAUAAUCCAUUUCUCAACAGAAGUCCGUCCAUACGCCUACGCACGUCGAGAAGGGAGAGAAGAUAAGCGAGGUCAGUCGGUGUUACCGAAACAGAAACAUAGAACAUCCCUAUGUCAGUGUAACAACCCUUACUCUAGGAGGCGGUGACCUCCGUUGGGGUUGCACAAUCGCGCUCUGAUUGAUAAUUUAUACGGUGCGUGCAGGUUAUUUGAUUAUCUAUCUUCCCCUUCUGUGACUUGUCCUCGUCGUUCUAUUCUUUCUUUCACCUUACUAAAUCUUUAUAUAUAUUUUUGUUGAAAUAUUUUCUAUUCAUAUAUAAUCAUAUAAUUCUGCACAUGUGAAUAUUUUUUUCCAAAAUGAAUUUCAAUGUAAAACUAAAAAACAUACUUGUAAAUUAUUGGAGUA